rnacentral:misc_RNA from 1 species
GGAUGAAGAACGUAGCGAACUGCGAUAAGUAAUGUGAAUUGCAGAAUUCAGUGAAUCAUCGAGUCUUUGAACGCACAUUGCGCCCCCUGGUAUUCCGGGGGGCAUGCCUGUCCGAGCGUCAUUGCUGCCCUCAAGCCCGGCUUGUGUGUUGGGCCGUCGUCCCCCCCCUCCCGGGGGGACGGGCCCGAAAGGCAGCGGCGGCACCGCGUCCGGUCCUCGAGCGUAUGGGGCUUUGUCACCCGCUCGAUUAGGGCCGGCCGGGCGCCUGCCGGCGUCUCCAACCAAUCUUCUUCAGGUUGACCUCGGAUCAGGUAGGGAUACCCGCUGAACUUAAGCAUAUCAAUAAGCGGAGGA